UCUGCCCAACAUUUAUGGCUGAGGUGUAAUAUUGCUGUUCUUGAUAUGGAUCAAUUUGUUUGUAACAAAUUAAUUGAAUGGGGCCUUGGCGAGUUGAAAGAAAGAUUUCAAGAGGAACGCAUUGACACAGAACGUCUUUACCUUCUUGAAGAUUGUGACAUUGAUAACUUGAUCCCAAAUUUGGAACAAAGGGCAAAAUUCAAGAACAAUCUCAAGUUUUUAAAGGUAACAUUCUUCACUUUUAAGAUACAUUACACAGGUAUUGUAAAUGCCAUCACAUCAUAUUCACUAAUGGAUGCUGUUAUAGGUACACAAGCAGGAGCUGUUGAAAGCUUUGAUGACACAGGGAAAAGAUUAUAAAAUCUCACUGACAAUAGUUUUAAUAGUUUUCAAACUGCACAGUUUUUUCUGUUCUUUCUUUCCUUCUUUUUAACUAAAACAAAUUUGCUGUGAUUUCCUUUGUCAUUAGGGAGAACAAGACAAAUCAGGAAACAGAAAACUGAGCCACUUACAAAACAAUGAUCAAUUAGUUAUUUAUUUGCUGUUAAGGAUUCUGUUUGUUGAGUCCCACCAACCUGAUCAUGUCCUAAAUC